rnacentral:lncRNA from 1 species
GCCAUGGAGGCGGCAGGCGCACGCACUGCCACCGGCGAGAGAUCUUGCAAUUUGAUUGAAGUCUCUGCUAUCACUAAAGCAAGUAUGCAUGUUCGUGAUUUAGGAUUAAUUCUUCUUCCAUGACAUGGGCCUCUCUCUCAUCUUGUUCACUUAUAUUUCCCACGGUGUUGUAGUUUCCUUGUUAUAACAAUUUAUAAUAUAGUGCAUGACAUCACUAAUUUGCAUCCGCAUGAUAGUCAUAAAAAUCCCUUUCCUGUUUGCCGUUGCUACUUAUGCUUUUAGAUAGUCGUUGAAACCUGUAAUUUUCUGUUCAAGCAUUCAUUCUGUGUGGUUACCCGAUCAAAUUUUUUUCCAAGCCAAGUAUGUUUGCAAAUAAUGUUGCAAGAUAUUUCUCAUAUAACACGACCUAGUGGAGUACCCAAACAAACACUAUUGAGCUCUUUUCAGUAAAAAAAAAGUACUAUAGUGAUGAUGUUAUGGUAAGUGUAGAAAUGACUAUUUUGCAGCGUAUAGACUUGUUUAUGCUUCACAAUGUCAAGAAUAGACAUGUUACAUGUUUAUUAUUAUACUUGGUACAUGGUUCACUUGUUUGUAUUAGGGAGUGGCUCUGCUAAUAUUGUUCUUGUCGAACUCAUGACCAGUUUUUGAGUGAUUAAAAUGUCCAGCAGCUUUGAGGGUUCAACACAUGAUUUUAUCAUAAGAUAUGCUCUUUUCUUAUUUGUACAUACGAUAAGCUAUUUGAAAAUGGCAAGUUUUAUAAAGGAUGGAUUUCUAUUAGGACAAUUAUGUAAAUAAUUGUAUUGCUUAAUUCCGCGGGUUGUUACGAAUCUCUAGAAUGCACUAGAAUUAUUUUCCUGUACAAGAUAAAUAAUAUUUGUAUAAUUUGUUCAUUAUUGCUAAGUUAGGAUUAUCCACAAAAUAGUUGGCUUGUCUGCCAUUUCCAACAUAGAAACAUACUUUAGGUUGCCUUUUGCGAUUAAUGUCAUAUCUUCUCUAUUUAUCCUUCCUUGUAGUGUGUGCAGCACACAGUUAGAUGGUGGUUGUUUAUGUAUAUUUAUUUGAACAGCUCAUGAUUAAUUUUUUAAGUAUGAAUGUAUGGCACAUACAUGGACUUGCGCUGAGGCUGGUCACAAUGAGGAGGAACUUAGGAGUAACAUCACACACUCCAAUACAACUUUGCUUAUGUGUCACAUAUUUAAUGAAGAGAGAGGUGCUUGUGGUAACUAGCUAAGUUACCGAAACAUCACACACUCCAAGAAACAAUGAGUCUAUAACCUAAUAAAUACAUUGUUGCAUGACACUACAUAGAUGUUCCUACCCACUGUGGAGAUAGUAACAUAGUCUAGGGAAGUGUGUAAGUUACUAGACUAUGUUCUUGCCCAUUGUGACCAGCCUAACUAAAUCAUAUUUGCUACGUCUGAACUCUCCCAGGACAACAAGCUCGACGAACAAGAAGCACUGCAUCUGGAGGCAACUGUUGUGUGCCGUCAAGAUAGCAACGUUCAUGCAGUUCUUAAUGGCAAUGCUUGUUGAGCGAUGAUUAUUAUAGUCCUUCAGACUUACCCUUGCCCGUCAUGUACCAAAGUUGAUGCAGUUUUCGCUAGCAAUACUUGAUCCUGUGAUAUGAGUGUCUUCUGUGUUAUGCCUGGGAUGUUACAGUUUGACAUGUACUAAAAAAUGCGGCGCUGAUAGUCCAGUUUGACAUGCACUCAAGUAUUUGUUUCUGGAAUGGUUCAUUUUAACAUUUAUGCCAUUUCUUGUGCCUGGUAUGGUCCAGCUUACACGUACUCACAUAUUAGUGUGUGAUGGUCAUGUUCA